UUUACCNGAGUACUAUGAAUAUUUAAAGAUUUAAAACUCAAAGAACUUGGCGGUGUUUUAGACCACUCAGGGGAACCUGUCUCGUAAUCGACAAUCCACGUUGUACCUGACCUUUUUUUGUUUUCAGUUUGUAUACCGUUGUCGUCAGGUAACUUUUUAGAAAUUAGAAGUUAGCAGUAAAAAUAUUGAUGAUUUAGUACGUCAAAUCAAGGUGCAGCUAAUAAAAAGGGGAGGAUGGGUUACAAUUAUAUGAUUUAUAAUAACGGAUAAACAUACGAAUGUAUGUUAAAUUAUAAGGCGGACUUGAAAGUAAAUUGGAAUAUGUAAGUAAUUUGAAUGAGGCUCUGAAACGUGU
rnacentral:rRNA from 1 species